rnacentral:rRNA from 1 species
AUUAUGAAAUAAAACUCAGGCAGGGGGAGUGUGGUUGUAGCUGGCCCCCUAAUAAGGGCAUGUGCACACUGUCUCUUUCUCUUGUUUGUUUUUUCAUUCUUUCCACUUGUGCACUGCUUGUAGGCAGCCUGGCAUUGUUCGGGUUGUCUAUGAUUUUAUUUUACAUACAUGAAUUAUUGUUGUACAGAAUGUGAUAAAAAAAUAAUAAUACAACUUUCAACAACGGAUCUCUUGGCUCUCGCAUCGAUGAAGAACGCAGCGAAAUGCGAUAAGUAAUGUGAAUUGCAGAAUUCAGUGAAUCAUCGAAUCUUUGAACGCAUCUUGCGCUCCUUGGUAUUCCGAGGAGCAUGCCUGUUUGAGUGUCAUUAAAUUCUGUCAAAACAUGCACUUGAGUGUGUUUUGGAUUGUGGGAGUGUCUGCUGGCUUUAUAUGAGUCAGCUCUCCUGAAAGACAUUAGCUUUGGAGGGAUGUGCCAAGUCACUUCUGCCUUUCCAUUGGUGUGAUAGAUGAAUAAACUUAUCUACGCCAGGAAAGCAGGUUGCAGGUGAUGCACUGUGAUCUCUCUGCUCUCUAAUUGACAUUUGUCUGAUAACUUGACCUCAAAUCAGGUAGGACUACCCGCUGAACUUAA